rfam:Myotis davidii contig150827, whole genome shotgun sequence.
GGUGGUUCUCGGAUGACACACCCCGGAAUCAGACUUCCUCCUCUGUGAUUCUGGGUGAGUCAUCCGAAAAUAGCA